rnacentral:rRNA from 1 species
UAGGGAAUCUUCGGCAAUGGGGGCAACCCUGACCGAGCAACGCCGCGUGAGUGAAGAAGGUUUUCGGAUCGUAAAGCUCUGUUGUAAGUCAAGAACGAGUGUGAGAGUGGAAAGUUCACACUGUGACGGUAACUUACCAGAAAGGGACGGCUAACUACGUGCCAGCAGCCGCGGUAAUACGUAGGUCCCGAGCGUUAUCCGGAUUUAUUGGGCGUAAAGCGAGCGCAGGCGGUUAGAUAAGUCUGAAGUUAAAGGCUGUGGCUUAACCAUAGUACGCUUUGGAAACUGUUUAACUUGAGUGCAGAAGGGGAGAGUGGAAUUCCAUGUGUAGCGGUGAAAUGCGUAGAUAUAUGGAGGAACACCGGUGGCGAAAGCGGCUCUCUGGUCUGUAACUGACGCUGAGGCUCGAAAGCGUGGGGAGCAAACAGGAUUAGAUACCCUGGUAGUCCACGCCGUAAACGAUGAGUGCUAGGUGUUGGGUCCUUUCCGGGACUCAGUGCCGCAGCUAACGCAUUAAGCACUCCGCCUGGGGAGUACGACCGCAAGGUUG